UACGGAGGGUGCAAGCGUUAUCCGGAUUCACUGGGUUUAAAGGGUGCGUAGGCGGGUAAGUAAGUCCGUGGUGAAAUCUCUGAGCUUAACUCAGAAACUGCCGUGGAUACUAUUUGCCUUGAAUAUUGUGGAGGUGAGCGGAAUAGGUCAUGUAGCGGUGAAAUGCUUAGAUAUGACAUAGAACACCAAUUGCGAAGGCAGCUCACUACACAAUCAUUGACGCUGAGGCACGAAAGCGUGGGGAUCAAACAGG
rnacentral:rRNA from 1 species